GUUUUAUCUAAGGCUAGGGUCUUUUGAAUAUAUGUGAUGUCAUCAAAAGAUUGUAGUUCUGGCAUUUGAGAGCCAAGCAUCAUUGAGAGAAGAUUUAUGAAGAGAUUGGCAUGCUGCUGAAUAGCUAGAUACACCUUGUAACACAUCUCCUGAAACCUUUCAAAUUCUCUGGUCUUGUACAUUCUUGGGCCCCUUUGCUUAUCACUAUUAAGGAAUCUUGCAUCAAAACAAAUGGCACACGUUCUUGUUUAUAACCAAAUUGUUUCUUCUUGUGAUCCAAAAAGUGUCCAAAAUCUAUAUGAAGUAGUUGUCCAUCUUUCACCAUGUUACUAUUGUGAUGGUCUCCAAUUCCCAAAAUGAAGGUAGUCACGCAAUAUCCAACACAUGAAUGUGUAAAGAGGUCAAUGACUGCAUCAUAUAUUUCUUCUUUGCUCUUGUCUUUGAGCCACGGAUGUGUGGCUAUUGAACUGCAGUGCACUUUUCAGGCCCCCUUUGCACUGAAUCUGCAUGAUAGUGUGAGAAUUUCUUACCACCUCAAAAAGACCUAUGCAGUCACUGAUUGAUAGACAACCGUAAGGCAACGUUCGAAGAUCAAGACCUUGAUUUUGCCAGAUAUUUUCCAUAAUGUGAAUAAUUUGAAGCAUUAGCAUAUCUUAGUGUAAAUCAUCCCCAUUUUUAAAGAUGAUCUUAUUGUUUGAAACAGUAACUCUGUUACGAUGUCUGGGUUCUCCCAAUUCAACCACAAUGCCCUUUUUGCAGAAGACAUAAUUCGACACUCUUCAAGCCUGAGAUUUCCUACUUGAUAAGCAGGGUUUAGAGGAGACAGAAAGCCCUGUAGAGCAUCCAUGAAAUCUGGUUGCCUCAUUUGCUCAACUAAAAAGUUCAUCUGUACCUUUUGUGUCUCAUCCUUCUUCUCCUCCUUGAGAAUGUCAGUUAAGUUAAUGAGCUUUUCCAUAGCUUCAACUUGCCUACUCAGGUGCUUCAGAUACAUCCCACAGGCACUACAAUAGGAUUCCAAAAUCAGACAAUUUUUGACUGUUUUAUUAUGGAUCUCAGAUUUAAAUGCCAGAAGAAUAAGUGUCCAAUCCUUUGAUUUGUUAGUGCUUUCUUGAGUAAAAAAAUCUCACAAGCAGGUUAUCCAAAUAUUGUUCAUAUUUUAGGACCUGUACUAGCUGAAUUAGGUACUGAGAAAGCUUGUCAUCUGUCAAAUAUUUUUCCAAGUAUCAAACAGCAAAACCUCUAACCAUAGGAUCUGGGUAAUUACAGUCCAGAAACUCCAUUGCCUGCUCAGGUUUGAUCAGGGGCCAAUAUUUUACUAAGCAAUACAUCUGAGCUACUUCAUCUCUAGAAUUCCAUUUAAUGGACAGGAGGAAUUUAGGUAGAAUUUCAGGGGUAGUUACACAAUAGUGUCUGUUUUUCCACAGAAAAUUUUUCUCUUGCUCAGUGAUUUCAGAUAGAGAGUCUCCUGUCCAAAUUGCUUGGAGCUGUUCUUUGUCAUUUUCUCUUAAUUCAUUGUCUCGAGCUAGUCUGCUACACAGUCCUGCAUGUGAAUAACUAAAUCCUGCUUCUUGGGAUACAGACCAAUUUGCAUGCUCUUCAAUCACUGACAUAUCUGGAAACUUUACCACACUGCACAACCAAUCAAACUCCAACUCUAGGCAUGGAGUUUCUUUGUUUGGAUUUGACCCAGUAACACCAAUAGGGUUCAGCAAAUCUUCUAAUCCAUGAGGUACUGGCCAAAGAGUCAAAGCCAUUUUUCUAGAUACUAGGGUGUCUGUGUAAUCAAACAAGUUUAUAUUUCCCCAGGCCAAUGGACAGUGCUCCUCUUUAGCACCCUUUCAGGCUUUAACAGAGCAAAUGGAAAGGCAAAGUUGAGUAGCAUGAGAAACAUCAAGAAUGUAUAUAUCAUAAUUCAGCCAUUCAUUCCACCUAGGAUUGGAACAAGGUACUCUUUGAGUGUUCACAUUGUCACAUAAGGGUUCUCCUCUGUGGUAGAUAACCUUUGGAACAUAGAUCUUACCAAUGUCUCGAAUAUUUACAUUUACAUAAGUUGCACAAAGAAUUUUUAUUCUGAGUGCACUAUUUAUAACCCAAAGGGAUUUUGUAGAUGUUUCUCCAUUCAUAUACAGUGUAGCUGUAGAGAUGCCUCUGGAAUAGGAUGGCAUUGUAAAACAGUCCAUUGGCAGUUGAGAGUAAAGGCUUUCUUUAGCCAUCAGCAUCAAAUUGGGCAUCCUCCCAAGCAUUAUAUAGCUUCUUAUAUACUUAUACUGUCUCAGGGGAUAUUUUUUCUAGGAAGUAUUCAUCACACCCACAUACUUUUAAAAUAUACUUUCCCUGAUAUUCUAAAACACAGAGUUUUAGUUGUUCAGAGGAUAACAACAUACUUCGAGGUUUUUUUCCUGAUUGCUUCAGCAAUUACUUGUUCUGGUACACAGUCAUGGUUGAUUUUCAAAAUAUACUUCUGUUUGGCAUUAUUUGGAGAAACUAUUACCCAAAUCACCACAAUUAUUUGACCUUUAUCUAAUUUAUUGUAUAUGUGCUUUGGCAGUUCUGGUGAAGAUUCUACAUUUGGAGGAUAGGCAUACAUUGCUAUACUAUGAGGUGAAUUGAGAUCCCUAAGAUCCACAGCUUCUUUGCAAACAUUCAAAAUAUUUCUUCAGAAGUCCUGUACUUCUGGAUCUUUAACCACAUCAAAUUCACACACUGGCAUGUCGAUAACAAAACCAAUUUCUCGACUGAGGUUCUUCACGGUUGCCUACUGGUUCAAUUACUUUUAAAAAGGACUGAAAAAGCCGAAGGUCACAAAGUCGUCUUGUUUCAUCAAAAAAACUCUUCUCUUUCUGCUUCUUGGGUAACGAGAAAAUGUUAGAAGAUUCAUCUUGAAGAAGUUGAUGGAGAGGGUAUUUUCUUGCUUCCUUAAAUAGUUCAUGCUUUAUGGUUAUUAAUGUAACCUCAUGGAGGCAUUCUAGUCACGAUCUUUCCAUUUGGUAGUAAACACUCUACUAGGAUUCUUGAGGGCAUCAAGUGGAUGCCCCACAGUUUACCUGGUGAUGGUCCUGGAGGCAUUGUUCUGAUCCUCUGCAAGUUUUACAUAUAAAACUACUUUAUGUAAUUACAUCUAUGGCUGUUCCAAAGCAGUAACGCUCCGGGCUUCUCCAGGCUCCGCGGCUCUAACUGCGUCGGGGUCCAGCCCUGCGGGUGGUGGCAUUAACCUCAGGGUCCAGGGAGAGGAGAGCACGAGGCACGGACCACACCCCACACCCCCCGCCAACCUCCGGACCUGCCCGGCCGGGCCUGAGCCCUGCCUCGCCAGCGGCCCUAGCCCCAGCCCCCCCCAAAACAUUUUUGUUGGAAAAUUUCAAAUAGUCCCAGAAAUAGAAUAGUUUAUUGAGCCCCAUGUCAUCAUCACCUUGUUUUGACAGCCUAGCCGUAUUUUGCCUUUUUUAUUUUCUUUACCGCUACUCUCAAUUUUUCAUUCUACUAAUUUCCUAAACUCAUAAAUCCCAGAUGUCAUGCCCCAUAACUCAUAAAUACUCCACUCAGCAUGUCUGAGAAUGGCUUCUUUUUAAAACAUAACAAUGAUACCACAAUUAAUAAAACAAAUAAUAAUUUCUUAAUAUCAUUUAACAAGAAUCCAUAUUCAAAUAUCUAGUUAUCACAAAGGUGUUUUUCGUAGUUGAUUUGUUGAAACCAGUAUGGAAAAAUUUGGUUGUGACAGCAGUCUCCUUCACGUUGAUUUGAUUUGCUGGAGAAAUCAGUCAUUGUUGUACCAGGAGGGAGAUAAUCUGAUUCUGUGAUACAGCACCCCUGGGAUUAUUAUGUGAGCCCCAUUUCUUCUUAAUUUAUAGAGUAAGACUAGGAAAAGGACCAAGACAAGAGCUUUCAGGGGCCAGUUUGUUUUCUCUCCCACCCACUCCAAGACAUGCAAAGGAGGGUGGACUCUAGAGAUGGGAAGGGUUUCCAAACAGGGACCUUGAGUUCUUCGCUGGAUGUGUGCUGAUCUGCAGAGUCCUAGACACAUGGCUGCCACUUCCAGAACAGAAGGUGGGAAAUUCUUGGUAGGUAGAGCUGAAGAGGUAUGGCUUAAGCAUUGUGGGUUCAUUUGAACACAAAUGUUUGUGCCUAAUGGAAAUUGGGAGAUUUCAGAAAGCCAUUAGUAGCUUGUACCUGGAGAGAAAGAACAGCCCUGGCCCAGUGGACAAGGCCAUGAAACUGGUAUCAGCUAUACCACCAUAGCUGGCUCCCUCAGAAGCACAAAGGAGAGCUUAGGUGUUGUCUAGAGCUCCAGGUGAAGGCAAAGAGGAAAGUUAAGUGCAAUAUGGCUGUCCUAAUGUCCACCAAACAGGAUUGUCCAUUUGGAGAUCUAAGUGAGAACAUAGAAUUGAGAGAGUGCCAAAUGAGGCACAGCUAAAUAAAGACCAGUAUGAAAACAAAAGGUAAAAACAGCACACAGGAUCAGUUUGAGCACAAAUAAAAUCAGCGGUGGUCACCUUUUGCCUCACUGACAUUCAGGGAGUUAUAUAAGACACUUCCUGCCACUAUUCUUGUCCUUUCCCCAUCCUACACAUCAAGGGAAUUAGAGUCCUUUUUACACUAUAUUUGAAUGCUUUUUAAAACUAGGUUGGACUGAGUGUUAAUAUAAUCAGAUGGCUGAGAAGUUAUGGAAAUUGCUCCACAUAUGGCUGUGUACUAAAGAGGAGAUGAUGACUGAAAAAAAAUAAAAAUCUUCUCAGAUUGAAAGUCCUUAAUACAUUCACAGUUUUUUCCUGUUAUUCAAUACUGAAUAACAUCUUCAGCUUUUUUUUUUUUUGGUACUGGGGAUCAAACUCAGGACCUUGUGCUUGCAAGGCGGGCGCCGAAACCACUGAGCUAAAUCCCCUGCCAACAUCUUCAGCUUUUUAAAAAAAAUUUUACAUUUUGAGGCAGGGUCUUGCUAAGUUGUUAAAUUUCCCAGGCGGGGUUUGAACUUGAGAUCCCCAUUUCUCAGGCUCCCAGAGUGCUGAGAUUAUAGGUGUCUGCCACCAUGCCUGCUCAAAUCUAUUUUCCUUGCUUCUGAACAUUAUGGUAUCAUUCUUUCCUCACACUGGCUUGCUUGUACUGCUUCAGUGUGUGGUCUGUAGCUUCUCCGAUCUCAAGGAUCUUCCAUAGAUGAGUACAUGACUUUCUUAAGGUUUUAUUCUAGUUUCCCUAGAAUAUUUUGGAGACUUUUGUAGGGAGCAUUAUUCUGCUGGAAAGUGGCAGUUCAUAAAUUGCCAUGAGUCAAAAUCUUUAUGUCCUUCUCAAUGCCCUAUGGCAUUGUAUAAUUCUAAUAUUCUGAGAUUCAUUUUUGUGUACAAUGAUUUUCCUAAUUGUAGUUUGGUUUUAAAAAUGAAAUAGCUUGAAAAGUAUUAAUUAGUUUGCUGAGGAGGGCAUCACCAGAUUAAAAGAGGCCACAAAAGGGUGUCAUCAGCAGGCUGCAAAUGGAAUGUAUUCAUCCCUUUGAAAAUUCCAUACCUUUACAUUUGUUAAUUAAUAAGGGAAUAUUGCAUGCUUAUCCCCCAAAGCAUAAAGAAAACAUUCAGUCAAGGAUACAAUAUUUUGACAACAAACAAAAACAACUGUUUAGAAAGAAACCUACAAAACAAGAGAUGAAAUGUAAUGUAUUUAGCAAUGUGUGCUAUUUUUAUAAGCAGUGUGGCUAGGCAUCAUCAGUAAUUUUUUUAUUUUUAAAUAAUUUGUGAAGAAGGGUUUCUUUCCCCCCAUAGCUCCACUAGCAUUUGUUGUUGGUCGAUUUCUUGAUAAUAGCCAUUCUUUCUGGAGUGAGAUGGAAUCUCAGCAUUGUUUUAAUUUGCAUCUCUCAAAUGACCAAUGAUGUUGAACACUUUUUUAUGUAUUUAUUUGCUGUUUCUACUUCAUCUGAGAAGUGUGUAUUCAUCUCAGAUGCCCAUUUUUGAAUUGAGUCUUUAUAUUUUGGUGGACUGAUGUUUUUCAAUUCUUUAUAUGUUCUAGAUAUUAGUCCUUUGUCUGGGGGCUGGUUAAAAUUUUGUUCCCACUCUACAACUGCUGUGGAAAUCAUUGUGGAGAUUCCUCAAGAAACCAGGAUUAGAGGUCCCUAUUCUCCCUUUCGGGUAUCUUUCCAAAAGAGUUAAAAUCAUCAUACCACAGAGAUAUAUGUGCACCCAUGUUUAUAGCAGCACAGUUUGUAAUAGCUAAAUCUUGGAAACAACCUAAAUGCCCACCAAUUGAUGACUGGAUAAAGAAAGAUUUUUUAUAUAUUGGCAUAGUAUUCAGCUAUAAAGAUGGAUAAACGAGACAUUUCUAGGAAUAAACCUGUAUUGGAUAAGCAGAAAGAAGUGGAAUCCAGUUGAAUGAUUUAGUUCCUAAUAAACAAACAGUGGUAACGAUGUGGACUUGUGCUUCAUUACUGAAUUAUUCUUUAAUCACUCUGUGUGUUGUUGCCUGUUUUUGGUGUCACAUUACCACGUAAUACACUAACAGAAAAAGAACUCUUUCCAAUUGUAGAAAUAAUUCCCAAGGACCAAAUUAGAAUCUUUAGUAGAUUGCAUAAUAGGAACAUAAUAGGAUAUGCUAAUAUCCUAUUUGGAUAUUAGCAUAUCCAAAGCAUAAUAGGAUGGAUGUAUUAAUAGAAUUUUUCCUUUUCAAAACAAUUUGCAGUAAAAAAAAAACAAGAAUAAGAUGGAAGGAAGAACAUUAAUGUUUCAAAGCAAAAAACCUUUUUUAUUUAAUAUCCAGAAAAAAAUUUGAGGUAGGUGUGUGCAUUUUUCUAAGAAAGAUAUUUAUUCAGUCUUUGGGAAAGCAUUAUGGACAAAUAUACUGUGCUCAAUCUAGAUAUAUGAGAAAUCUUUCCUUCCUUUUGAUUUUUCUUUCCUGUGGAAUUUACAUGACAUCAUCGCUUAGGAAGGAAACUAAUGUGUGUUUCUUUUAUCACAAUAUUUGAAAACAAUUAAUAUUACAAUAGCAAUACCUGUUGGGAGCAAUGUUACAUAGUUCUAGGGAAAAAUCAUUUGAGUAGGCCUAGUUCUCCUGCCUACAGCCCAGCUAGGACAUUUCAGACAUAAUUGCAUUUUGGCCUCUGGAAUAUGAAAAACAUGGUAUUUUAAACUGGGGUAUACCUACAUCAAAUCUUAUCACAAUAACAACAAAAACAGAAUGUGUCACUGGAGGAUUAGGGGUUCAAAAGAAUUGGGAGAAUAACUAUAUCCACCAUCCUCUUGCCUUCCCCAAAUAAAUUUCAUCUGAUUGAAAGUAUUAUGAAGAAUUUGUAUAAAAGAGAACAUUUGAUAUGGGUUUCCAAAUACAAGUAAGGUUUCUAUCAAGAGAGAUGAGAUGGUGUAGAGGAAAGUGGGUGUUUCAAAUGGACAGAAUGGCUUAUGGAAGGUGUGAUGAGCAUGUUCUUGGAAAAUGAAAUAGAAUUUAGUUGAAGUUUGUAGAAAACCUUACAUGGAU
rnacentral:lncRNA from 1 species